rnacentral:rRNA from 1 species
CUCGUAGGCGGUUCGGUAAGUCGGGUGUGAAAACUUUGGGCUCAACCCAAAGCGUGCACUCGAUACUGCCAUGACUAGAGUUCGGUAGGGGAGUGGGGAAUUCCUAGUGUAGCGGUGAAAUGCGCAGAUAUUAGGAGGAACACCGGUGGCGAAGGCGCCACUCUGGGCCGAAACUGACGCUGAGGAGCGAAAGCGUGGGUAGCAAACAGGAUUAGAUACCCUGGUAGUCCACGCCGUAAACGUUGGGCACUAGGUGUGGGUCUCAACCAACGAGAUCCGCGCCGUCGCUAACGCAUUAAGUGCCCCGCCUGGGGAGUACGGCCGCAAGGUUAAA